rnacentral:rRNA from 1 species
CCUACGGGAGGCUGCAGUGGGGAAUAUUGGGCAAUGGGCGCAAGCCUUACCCAGCAAUACCGCGUGAGUGAAGACGGUCUUCGGAUUGUAAAGCUCUUUGAUCAGGGACGAACAGAUGACGGUACCUGAAGAACAAGCCCCGGCUAACUACGUGCCAGCAGCCGCGGUAAAACGUAGGGGGCGAGCGUUGUCCGGGAUGACUGGGUGUUCAGGGUGCGUAGGCGGGAUAAUAAGGUAGAAGUGAAAUACCCAGGGCUUAAAUCGGGUGCUGCUUCUAAGACUGUUGAGCUUGAGUGCGGGAGAGGUUGAUGGAAUUCCUAGUGUAGCGGUGGAAUGCGUAGAUAUUAGGAGGAACACCAGAGGCGAAGGCGAUUAACUGGACCGUAACUGACGCUGAGGCACGAAAGUGUGGGUAGCAAACAGGAUUAGAUACCCCAGUAGUC